AACGCGAAGAACCUUACCUACCCUUGACAUCCUCGGAAUCUUUCAGAAAUGAGAGAGUGCCUUCGGGAACCGAGUGACAGGUGAUGCAUGGCUGUCGUCAGCUCGUGUCGUGAGAUGUUGGGUUAAGUCCCGUAACGAGCGCAACCCUCGUCCUUAGUUGCUAGCAGUUCGGCUGAGCACUCUAAGGAGACUGCCGGUGAUAAACCGGAGGAAGGCGGGGAUGACGUCAAGUCAUCAUGUCCCUUACGGGUAGGGCUACACACGUGCUACAAUGGGCAGUACAAAGGGUUGCCAAGUCGCAAGAUGGAGCUAAUCCCAAAAAGCUGUUCGUAGUCCGGAUUGGGGUCUGCAACUCGACCCCAUGAAGUUGGAAUCGCUAGUAAUCGCAAAUCAGCAUGUUGCGGUGAAUACGUUCCCGGGCCUUGUACACACCGGCUAC
rnacentral:rRNA from 1 species